CUCCCAGUGCCAGAAGUUGAAUUGCUGCUGCCAUGGAAGAAGACAAGACAUUUGGUAACAAUAACUUAUGCAAUGGAGAAUGAGAAGCUGCUUAUCCUACUGGCUUUCACUAGUUGGUGAAGCAACUGUCAGCAGUUUCAACAACUAUAGUCUGCUAAAUCAGUGGAAAAGUGAGCUCCCACAAAUUACUGUGUUAAUGUUUUGAUACAGAAUGCAUACUUUCAACCCUACUUGAGGAACAGUGGAAAACUGCUGCACACCAGAGUGGCAUGGAUGCAUAUUAGUGUGGGCACAGCAUCAUCCUAACAUGCCUAAUGGGCUCUUGAUUAGAGCCAGAUAAGAUACAACCAACAUAAAAUGUGGACAAGGCAGGCUGGGAUUAAUCUAUAACUCCAUCCAUAUGCUAAACCUAUUAAUAA